rnacentral:rRNA from 1 species
UACGGAGGGAGCUAGCGUUAUUCGGAAUUACUGGGCGUAAAGCGCACGUAGGCGGCUUUGUAAGUUAGAGGUGAAAGCCUGGAGCUCAACUCCAGAAUUGCCUUUAAGACUGCAUCGCUUGAAUCCAGGAGAGGUGAGUGGAAUUCCGAGUGUAGAGGUGAAAUUCGUAGAUAUUCGGAAGAACACCAGUGGCGAAGGCGGCUCACUGGCCCGAUACUGACGCUGAGGCACGAAAGCGUGGGGAGCAAACAGG